CCAGCAGCCGCGGUAAUUCCAGCUCCAAUAGCGUAUAUUAAAGUUGUUGCAGUUAAAAAGCUCGUAGUUGAAUUUCUGGAGAAGCUGCGCGGUCCGUCAGUUGACGCGACCCCGCGGCUUGUCCUUUCUUCUUGGCGUCUUUGAGUCUGGUGGUAGAUUUUUUUUCUCUACUGCCGGCGCGCCAUCUUUUACUGUGAAAAAAUUAGAGUGUUCAAAGCAGGCUUUAGGCUUGAAUACAUUAGCAUGGAAUAAUAAGAUAGGACCACGGUGCUAUUUUGUUGGUUGCGCAUCGCGGUAAUGAUUAAUAGGGAUAGUUGGGGGUAUUCAUAUUUAACUGUCAGAGGUGAAAUUCUUAGAUUUGUUAAAGAUGCACGACUGCGAAAGCAUUUAC
rnacentral:rRNA from 1 species